rnacentral:lncRNA from 1 species
CAUGCAUGGGUCAGGGGGUCAGGGGUCUUUUCUUGAUUCUCUGAGCACGUGGCGCCACCUCAACUAUGAUCAGCAGAUGCACCCGGAGGACAGACUGCCACUCUGAGGACACCCAGGACCCAGGAGUUUAUAAUGUCAGACAGACCGCCAGAUCCGGACAGUGACCCAAAGUCUCCAAAGAAGAUUACGAGGCACCUCAGUUCCUGCACCUGGACCAGUGAGCGAGAUGCUCAGAUGUGAAACCUGCCGCCUGCCAGAACCUGGCCGAGAAUGUGGACAAAGCUGCUGGACACUGGAAAAUUGAUUGUACCCCUUUGCCUAGACAAAACAAGGUUUCUGCUUCUGGCAGACAUCUGAGUAUCAGUUGCUGACUACAGGCUGUUCUAAGUAGACUGCGAGCCCUGGACUUGCUGUGGAUGUGAACCAGUUCAGCUGAUAUGGACACCCCCUGUCUCUGCAACAGUGUCUGCUAACCAGAAGCCCCUGAUGAAUUCCCCAUUGCCUAAAUUCCUUUUUGCUUUUGACUAGCAUUUCAACCUUCUGGGGUCCCUAACUUCGUCCCAAAGUCAGCAGGAAGCAGUUUGGAAAAGAAUUUCGGCGCCCAUUUUCCCUGGUUAAAAUGCUAAGUCAAAAGGAACUCCCUUGCAUGGGGAUGCCAAUAUCUAUCACUUCCUGAUGGGGAUGCUAGAGAGACAGCAAUUCCAUGAUUGGAAUUUCCAGAAAAGAAAAUGGGGGAAUGAAGGAACCGGCUUCCCUUUUGGCAGCCAUAAUGGUCGAACAUGUGCUUCUAUGACCUUGUCCUAGAAACCAGAAAGUCAGAUGCCUACCUCGUGACAAGGAAACAAUCAGAAGUUAG